rnacentral:rRNA from 1 species
AAAGCUUGUUAGAAAAGACUAAGAUUGAUUCUGUCUUUUACGAAUUAGCUUUAUUUAGAUAAUAUUAAAUAUAAGUUUUUGCGUGGUUAAAAUUUUUUCUUAAGGAUAAAUUGGUUUUAUUUGUAGUUUUUAAUUUUAAUUUUUACGUUAAUGUAGAAUUAGUUAAUUUAUUUUAGGACUGUAACAAGUUGUGCCAGCAUACGCGGUUAUACAUCUGGUUCAAGUUAAUUUUUUUGGUU